GAUGAAGAACGCAGCGAAAUGCGAUAAGUAGUGUGAAUUGCAGAAUUCAGUGAAUCAUCGAAUCUUUGAACGCACAUUGCGCCUCUUGGUAUUCCAGGAGGCAUGCCUGUUCGAGCGUCAUUAAACAACAUCGGCUAUGAUUUCAUCAUCAGAGCACGGUAUUGACGAUUGAGCAAAGAAACUGAUUUUUUUUAGGCUCUUCGUUGAAAUAAUUACUGGCGGAAUCUGGGUUUUAGAGCUCGUCGGCGUAGUGAAUCUUGUAUUUAUAUUACUUGUCGCUGAAGUGAGCUCUACCUUUACAUUCUAGCCGUACAAAAUCCAUAAUGGAACUCAUUCUAGUUUGACCUCGAAUCAGGUAGGGAUACCCGCUGAACUUAAGCAUAUCAAUAAGCGGAGGA
rnacentral:misc_RNA from 1 species